GGAUCAUUACCAGAGCUCUCUCGCGAGACUCCCAAACCAUUGUGAACCUUACCCCCGUACGCGUUGCUUCGGCGGGCGUCCCCUUCUACCGGAGGGGACGCGGCCCCUCGGGGUGCCCGCCGGCGGCCGACCAAACUCUUGAUAUCCCAGUGGACUCUCUGAGAAAACAAACCAAUAAGUUAAAACUUGCAACAACGGAUCUCUUGGUUCUGGCAUCGAUGAAGAACGCAGCGAAAUGCGAAAAGUAAUGUGAAUUGCAGAAUUCAGUGAAUCAUCGAAUCUUUGAACGCACAUUGCGCCCGCCAGUAUUCUGGCGGGCAUGCCUGUCCGAGCGUCAUUUCAACCCUCAAGCCCCGCUUGGUGUUGGGGUCCUACGGCUGCCGUAGGCCCUGAAAGCUAGUGGCGGGCUCGCUACCACUCCGAGCGCAGUAACGCAUCUCGCUAGGGACGUGUGUGGCGGGUUCCGGCCGUGAAACCCCCCCCAUUUUCACAAGGUUGACCUCGGAUCAGGUAGGAAUACCCGCUGAACUUAAGCAUAUCAAUAAGCGGAGGAAAAGAAACCAACAGGGAUUGCCCCAGUAACGGCGAGUGAAGCGGCAACAGCUCAAAUUUGAAAUCUGGCCUCGGCCCGAGUUGUAAUUUGCAGAGGAUGCUUUUGGGUGCGGUGCCUUCUGAGUUCCCUGGAACGGGACGCCGGAGAGGGUGAGAGCCCCGUACAGUUGGACACCAAGCCCUUGUAAAGCUCCUUCGACGAGUCGAGUAGUUUGGGAAUGCUGCUCUAAAUGGGAGGUAUAUCUCUUCUAAAGCUAAAUAUAGGCCAGAGACCGAUAGCGCACAAGUAGAGUGAUCGAAAGAUGAAAAGCACUUUGAAAAGAGGGUUAAAAAGUACGUGAAAUUGUUGCAAGGGAACGGCUUGUGACCAGACUUGCGCCGGGCUGAUCAUCCGCGGUUCUCCGCGGUGCACUCGGCCCGGCGCAGGCCAGCGUCGGUUCUAGCAGGGGGACAAAAGCUUGGGGAACGUGGCUCCUCCGGGAGUGUUAUAGCCCCUCGCCGAAUGCCCCUGCCGGGACCGAGG
rnacentral:rRNA from 1 species